GAUAUCCCUGGUAGUCCAUGCCGUAAACGUUGGGCACUCGGUGUGGGGAUCAGUUCCACGGUUUCCGCGCCGCAGCUAACGCAUUAAGUGCCCCGCCUGGGGAGGCAUGCCGCAAGGCUAAAACUCAAAGGAAUUGACGGGGGCCCGCACAAGCGGCGGAGCAUGCGGAUUAAUUCGAUGCAUACGCGAAGAACCUUACCAAGGCUUGACAUGUUCUCGAUCGCCGUAGAGAUACGGUUUCCCCAUUUGGGGUGGGUUCACAGUGGUUACGGGGUUGUCGUCAGCUCGUGUCGUGAAGUGUUGGGUUAAGUCCCCGAACGAGCGCACCCUCGUUCCAUGUUGCCAGCACGUCGUGGUGGGGACUCAUGGGGAGACUGCCGGGGUCAAGCUCGGAGGAAGGUGAGGACGACGUCAAAUCAUCAUGCCCCUUAUCGUCUUGGGCUUCACGCAUGCUACAAUGGCCGGUACAAUGGGUUGCGAUACUGUGAGGUGGAAUCGAUCCCAAAAAGCCGGUCUCAGUUCGGAUUGGGGUCUGCAACUCGACCCCAUGAAGUCGGCUGAGCUAGUAAUCGCAG
rnacentral:rRNA from 1 species